rnacentral:rRNA from 1 species
GACGAAGGAUGCAAGCGUUAUCCGGAUUCAUUGGGUUUAAAGGGAGCGUAGGCGGUUUAGUAAGUCAGUGGUGAAAUCUCUCAGCUUAACUGAGAAAUUGCCAUUGAUACUGCUGAACUUGAGUACAGUUGCCGUUGACGGAAUAUGACAUGUAGUGGUGAAAUACAUAGAGAUGUCAUAGAACACCGAUUGCGAAGGCAGUUGACGAAGCUGUAACUGACGCUGAGGCUCGAAAGUGCGGGGAUCAAACAGG